UGCGGAGGGGGCUAGCGUUGUCCGGAUUUAUUGGGCGUAAAGAGCGUGUAGGCGGCCAGGUAGGUCUGCUGUGAAAACUCGAGGCUCAACCUCGAGACGUCGGCGGAAACCAUCUGGCUAGAGUCCGGAAGAGGAGAGUGGAAUUCCUGGUGUAGCGGUGAAAUGCGCAGAUAUCAGGAAGAACACCCGUGGCGAAGGCGGCUCUCUGGGACGGUACUGACGCUGAGACGCGAAAGCGUGGGGAGCGAACAGG
rnacentral:rRNA from 1 species